rnacentral:rRNA from 1 species
UACGUAGGUGGCAAGCGUUGUCCGGAUUUACUGGGCGUAAAGGGCGUGCAGGCGGUCUGUUAAGUGCAGGGUGAAAGCUCCCGGCUCAACUGGGAGAGGUCCUUGCAUACUGGCGGAGCUUGAGGGGGGUAGAGGAAAGUGGAAUUCCCGGUGUAGUGGUGAUAUGCGUAGAUAUCGGGAGGAACACCUGUGGCGAAGGCGGCUUUCUGGGCCCUACCUGACGCUGAGACGCGAAAGCGUGGGGAGCGAACCGG